rnacentral:rRNA from 1 species
CCUANGGGUGGCAGCAGUGAGGAAUUUUGCGCAAUGGGGGAAACCCUGACGCAGCAACGCCGCGUGAGUGAAGAAGGCUUUCGGGUCGUAAAGCUCUGUCAAGAGGGAAGAAAGUGGGGGAUGGUAAUACUGUUUUCUAUUGACGGUACCUCUGAAGGAAGCACCGGCUAACUCCGUGCCAGCAGCCGCGGUAAUACGGGGGGUGCAAGCGUUAUUCGGAUUUAUUGGGCGUAAAGAGCGCGUAGGCGGUUUAUCAAGUCAGAUGUGAAAGCCCUGGGCUCAACCUGGGAAGUGCAUUUGAAACUAGUAGACUUGAGUAUGGGAGAGGGGAGUGGAAUUCCUGGUGUAGAGGUGAAAUUCGUAGAUAUCAGGAGGAACACCCGUGGCGAAGGCGGCUUCCUGGCCAUAAUCUGACGCUGAGGUGCGAAAGCUAGGGGAGCGAACGGGAUUAGAUACCCUANUANUC